GCAAAUUAUAGGCCAGAAAAACUAGUUGGAAAAUGUGUAUAUAUAUACACAUUUUCCAACUAGUUUUUCUGGCCUAUAAUUUGCAAUGUCA